CCUGCACAGCCCUGUGAGGAGCCCUCCCGUGUGAGUCCAUCCUCAGUGUCCACACCAUGGGGUCUGCACUCCUCUGGGCUUCCCUCCUCAUCGCUGUCAAAGGUGUCCUGUGCGAAGUUCAGCUGGUGGAGUCUGGGGGAGGCUUGGUGCAGCCCGGAGGGUCUCUCAGCCUGUCCUGCAAAGCCUCUGGAUUCACCUUCACUGACUACAGCAUGAACUGGGUCCGCCAGGCUCCAGGGAAGGGGCUGGAGUGGGUGGCAGGAGUUAGUCACCCAUCUGGAACAAAGCAGUGGUAUGCUCCAUCAGUUCAGGGAAGAUUCACCAUCUCCAGAGACAACCCUACCAACACAGUCUCUCUUAAAAUGACCAACCUGAAAACUGAAGACACGGCCGUGUAUUACUGUACCAGAGACACAUGGCUGGAGCCCAGUGCUGGGAAAGCCACCCCAGUGAGCUUCUCUGCGUGCUGCACCACUCAGCCUCUGGGCGAGCAGCUGAGGCAAGCUCAGGUGUACAUCUUAAACCAGCAUAGGGUUGAGGGGUGCCUCGAGCAGCCAGAAUCAGCUGCAGUGCCCUCAGCACCUGUCAGCCUCCAG